AGGGCUUGACAUACUGAGGACGUACUUAGAGAUAAGUAUACUUCUUCGGAAGCCUCAAUACAGGUGGUGCAUGGUUGUCGUCAGCUCGUGUCGUGAGAUGUUGGGUUAAGUCCCGCAACGAGCGCAACCCCUAUCUUUAGUUGCCAGCAUAUAAGAUGGGAACUCUAAAGAGACUGCCGAUGAUAAAUCGGAGGAAGGUGGGGAUGACGUCAAAUCAUCAUGCCCUAUA
rnacentral:rRNA from 1 species